ensembl:lncRNA
CGGAAAAGGGACUCGGAGGCCGGUGCUGUGGGGCUGCUUCUGCGGGUGACAGUGUUAAUACAUACUAUUGCCAUCCAAAUGAAGGUGCCAGUCCCUGCUGAGGAUGCUUCCAGAGCUGGUGUGGAUGUUCUUGACUACUCACUGCAGAUUUCCAACCCACUGCACAGUGCUCGGGGUGGUGCCACUCCCAGCCGCCUUCUCCCUUCCCCGGAUCCUGUUUGAAAGCAUCCCUGUCAUAGGAAGGAGAUGCUCUCCAUUGAGCUAAGGAGGGUUGUCAGCAGCCACUUAAAAUAGAAGUGGAAUGCCUCAGGACAUCUCAUUGUAUGAGUACUUGGCUCCACCAGGGUUGUGAACACAGAGAGUGAACCAUCAGGCCCUGAGAGAGAAGAAAGUGCUGCACAGUCUCCACGCUCAUGCUCUGGCCAAGAGAAGAGUACCAUUGCUCACCAGGAGAAUGGUGUCCCCCAAGCAGCAAGAUUGAGAUUGAAAGCAAAGGGCCGGGAUGAGAUGAGUCACCCAUCCUGCACCAUUUAGGCUGGGCACACCCCUCUGAUGGCUGAACAUCCUCAGCAACUCCUACGCUGAGCAGGUAGAUGUGUCCACCAGGACCUCUUGUUCUGAAAGAGGCUCAAAGCACAACAAUAACAAUCUUGUGAUGACCGGGGCAGUGCUCACCAUCACCUAAUUGCAGCAAGAAGGAAAGACAUGGGCGAUGCAGUGGUAUUAAUGAAGUACCAUCAGCACACGGAGCACUAGGAGCAUCAUUUUGGCAUGAGCAUCCAAGACACAUGAGUGCACGGGAGGGCGGCAGGCAUCUCGCUCACCUGGCAGGGCUACUGCCAAAACCCACAGGUCUAUCUGUGGGGAUGGUCUAUCCAUGGGCACAGCCUAUCUUUCAGUGACAUAUGGAACAAUUAAUGGACUUCCAGCUAAAAAAUUGGCACUGGCUGCAGACAAAUGUGUUUUUCCAGUCAUUAUCAUGUUUGCACUUGGAUGUAAUCCAAAGUGUGUAAACCUUCCUGGGGAUAUUAAUUGGCUUUUUAUUGCCUGUCCCUCAGUAUGGCGGGAGACUCGAGGCUGAUGCUGUUUGGCUUUUCAUAGUCUUGCUUGGUCUCAUAAUCUCAUGUGAAAAUUAUCUGGCAGAAGUUCUGCAAGUCAGAAUAGCAAAAGUAUAAUUAAUUCCCUGUGUGAAAUGAAAACAGCCGAUUUUCCACAGCGUCAGCUUGAACAUCAACAAGUCAUGGAAGCAAUAUGCAAAGAGCAGAUGAAAUUUGCACACAGAUAGCAAAUCUACUGAAUUUUUAUGGGGCAGCAAUGUUUCACAUGUAGCUGGAUAAAAAUGUCAAUGGAAUUCGGAAGCACUUCUCAUUCCCUCUAUGUAUUCAGCUGAAAAUCUGAAACAGCCUAUGAAGAGAGUCUCUGAUCAGUAUCUUCAUACAAGAAAUUCAUUGAGAAAAUAUACUCGUGUGAUGUUAUUUUUUUUUCUAGACACUACCAUUUUGCAGACAGGUCCUGUAUAGAUAGCAUGGAAUGGAAAUUAUUUUUCUCUAACUGAGGAUAGAGAGGUAAGAUAAGACAUUUCUGAAACACAAGGCCAUCCUUUCCACUACCUAAGGUUUUCUGUCCCCAUAGCAGAUUAGGUGAGUUUGUGUCUUCAUUCCUACCUUGUGCUAACUCCCACGUUACUCUUCAAGGGCUGAGGCCCUGAGCACGAUCUGCACCUGACUUAAUGAACUCCAAUAGCUCUAACAGAGGUUCAUUCCUCUUUGACCCCCCAGAACACACAGCAGUCAGCACAGUUGAGCUGGCCUGCAGACCUGCUUGUACAUCUGAAAACCAGCUAAAAUGUCCCUAUGGGCUAAUCCUGACCUCCAACCGCUGGUUGCUCUGCAGGUCCAAUAAUGUGAUGUGGAGAAGAUGUGUUUCCAAAGGAAAACCUGACUUGUUCACACACUGGGGAAGUCAGGUUGCAUUGCUGCUCGUAAUGAGCGGUGUUGAAAAGCACCUUUCAUGUCUCCAUCUGGUUGUUUUACUACAGGUGAGUUGUAACACAAAGAAGAGUUAUGCUCUGAUAGCGCCAAGCACAACUUGUCCCUAUUAACUGGGCUCUGCUGAGUAUCCAGAACAGAUGUUACAGAUGUAUGUCUCACCUCUCUGAAACUCUUUCGACACUUGCCUCUACAUUCUGGGGUAGUGGUGAAAUUAAAUAUUAGCACUGCCGUUAAAAAAACAAGUAUGUGUUAACAGUGAACUGAAUGCCUAUCUUUUUCUACCUCUAUACAUUGGAUAAUAAAUAGGUAGCACAGGUGUAUGAUGUACACGUAUAAAUGUACAUUCUUGGGAGCAAUCCCCACACUGUAUAUUACAAAAACAGUGUUGGUAUUUGCAGUGCCAUUCUAUGUGGCACAGUGAGCCAACAGUUUCAAAAGAAGCGGUCUACUAAGGAGAGCAUAUGGUGAAUAAUUAUUUUGCUUUCCUCUAUCUGCACGUUGGCUUGUAAUCGGGAAUAACAGAAAUAGAAAUCUUAAGCCAUUUCUGUUUUGCACUUCAUACAUCUUAGAAGCUUCCUUGGAUCAUGGACGGCUUCUUCUGCCUCUUCUUGCUGAACAGUUCUUAGUGAAAGGCCAUGACAUAGCUCACUGUGUGUGUAAAAUGUAGCAGAAAUAUGAAAGCAAAGAUCAAAGGCAGUUCUGUUCCUCAGAUAUCUUCCCUGACCCUUUAAACUGGAGAGGUGCAGAAUGAAUAAUAAGGAGCAGACUCUGCCAUCAAUUAUGCGGAGUUAAAUCCAGAGCGGGUUGCUGUAAAUCAAGUUACUUUAGAGUUACACAGCGUAACUGGGAGCAGAUCUGGGACCUGAGUCUGCAGGCCAAAGAACUAAACUGUAAGAGGGAAAUCCCAUCUCCCUCCCUCUCCACUUCGCCCAAACUCCCAGGCUCUUCAAAUAAGUAAGCCCAUCUGCUUGCUUUGAAAAGCACACAACACUAAGGCCUUCCUAAUCUGCCCAGCUAGAGCAAUUCCACUUUCAAGCACAGCUAAAUGGAUCACAGAUAAAUAGGGGUUUUUAUUUAAUUAAUGUCACAACAUGUGGCCUAAAAGAACAAAACAACAUCAGCAGCUAUAAAAGGUGGAGGGAAAAGGCUUGAUUUGUGAGUGCAAAGCUUACUGGGAGAGAAAUAAAAACAAUAGACCAAGUGCUGAGUCAAACGUGUCUGGGACCAAAUUUAGAUAAUUUAUUAUCUAUUUAUUACGUCUUUUCUCCUUCUCUUCCCAUUACAUGAUGCUUCUCCUCCUCGCACAAGCUUUAAUCUUGCUAAAUAUUUGCAAAUUGGCACCACACCUGAUCAAAACAAUAGAGGGGGAAUGAGCAAAAUGAUCCAAGCCAUGAUAUACUUCUUAUUACAGCGAUAGCGUUUCACAAGAUUAAAGGGGAUUUUCUAGGCAAUGGAGACAAAUCCAGCACCAGCUUUAUUGAGAACAUGUCACAGAUGCUUCACUUGUUAACAUGCGGCAGUGCAAACAAAGGAGAUUAUCUAGCUGUAGGUGUCCCUGUUCAUUGCAGGGGAAUGGGGUUAGACGGCCUUUAAAGGUCCCUUCCAACUCAAAUGAUUCUAUGAUGCUAUUUCAGUUGUUAUGCAUUUUCCCACUCACCCUUUCAAGUGUUCAUUUUUGAAAGGCAUCGUGUGCUGGCUGCUGAGACCCGGGGAAGUCAAUGUAAGAGUCUUUGAAGCAGAAACCCCAGCCUGAUGGCAGCACGUGGGGAAAUUAUCAACUGCAGAGACCACUCCUGGGAGUAACGCCAGGAACCAGGAUGAGAAAACGAGAAGGGGGAGAAAAAAGCAGCCCCAUAUCCCUCUGUCAUGGGGAUUAUAUGGGCCACGAGUCCUGAGAAACUCCAUUCUGGUCCACCCACUGAGAUAAAGCUAUUUGUAAACACCAGAUUGUGCUAUCUUUCUUGCCACCCUGAUUGCUAAUUAAUCAGAAACAGAAGUGCCUGGGUGAGAAAUACAAAGUGUGGGGGGAAAUGAAUGGAAGCUUGCCCAAUAACUGCUGUCCCCAGUUAGGAAACAGUCCUCUGAAACCAACAGAAUGCACAGCAAAGCAAAAGGGGGCUUGCAAGACUCCAGGAUAUAUCACUCCUGAGUUCCAAGCAGCUCUUACGCUGUUUAUUACAGAAACGACAACUGUUGAGACUGAGAAGAGCCCCAGGGCUGCAGCCCUGACCCUGCCCACCAG